UGCCCCUUCGUCCAAUGGCAGGACAGUGGCCUUUGGAGCCACGAAUCUUGGUUCGAAUCCAAGAGGGGCAA
rnacentral:tRNA from 1 species